UUUGCAGUGGUUCCUGUUGCACAAUUUGUGGGAGAGAGAGGUUGGUGUUGGCAGGAUGAGGUGUGUUGGAAGCAUUCUUCUGGUGAUUGUGCUCUCGCUUUCUUCUCUGGCCGUCUUCAAUGCUGCAAUAAACAUGGAACACUUGAACGACAACCCGAUGUCGCUAAUGGGUAGGAAAUGGUUGGGAGGACGGAGGGCAAUUGCCGCUCCGGUAAAUGAAGUACAUGGCGGCACACGGAGGCGAACUUACCGCACUCGGAGAGUUCAUCCACCAAAGAACGACUGAAAGGCAAACUUACAAGCAUGCAUUCUUUAUUUAUGUUCUAGAAUCUUGUGAUAAGUCAACUUUGUAUCAUACUAUCGUCACACGUUGUAUGUUGUAGUUUUCACCAAAUGGACUUGCUACUU